UACGGAGGGGGGCUAGCGUUGUUCGGAAUUACUGGGCGUAAAGCGCGCGUAGGCGGCUUUGUAAGUUAGAGGUGAAAGCCCUGGAGCUCAACUUCGGAAUUGCCUUUAAGACUGCAUCGCUUGAAUCAUGGAGAGGUCAGUGGAAUUCCGAGUGUAGAGGUGAAAUUCGUAGAUAUUCGCAAGAACACCAGUGGCGAAGGCGGCUCACUGGCCCGGUACUG
rnacentral:rRNA from 1 species